UACGUAGGUGACCAGCGUUGUCCGGAUUUACUGGGCGUAAAGAGCGCGCAGGCGGUCGUUCAAGUCGAGUGUGAAAGCCCCCGGCUCAACUGGGGAGGGUCACUCGAUACUGAUCGACUUGAAGGCAGGAGAGGGAAGCGGAAUUCCCGGUGUAGUGGUGAAAUGCGUAGAUAUCUGCAGGAACACCCGUGGCGAAAGCGGCGCGCUGGACCACUACUGACGCUGAGGAACGAAAGCUAGGGGAGCAAACAGG
rnacentral:rRNA from 1 species